rnacentral:lncRNA from 1 species
AUUACCAGGAGGCAAGUGAGCUCAUUAUCUAGUAGUGGUGAGGAGGAGGAGGUGAGGAGUAGAUGUAAGCCGGUGGAGUGUGAACGGGAGGAGUAGGAGGCUUGUAAGGCUUCGUUGGUGGUGGUGGUGGUGGUGGUGGUGACUUGUAGUGGUAUGGAAUGUGGGGUGGAGAGUAGACUGGAGGAGGAGGAGAAGGCGGUGGUGGAGACUUGUAGUGGUAAGGCGGUGACUUGGGAGGGUAGUGGGGGUGCUUAGGUGGUGAGUACACUGGUGGUGUUGGGGAUGGUGGUGGCUUAGGAGGGUAAUGGGGGUGCUUGGGUGGUGAGUACUUGGGUGGUGUUGGAGAGGGUGGUGACUUGGGAGGGUAGUGAGGAUGCUUGGGUGGUGAGUACACUGGUGGUGUUGGUGAGGGUGGUGACUUGGGAGGGUAAUGAGGGUGCUUGGGUGGUGAGUAGACCGGUGUCUUAGGUGGUGACUUGGGGGGGUAGUAGGGGUGGUGAGGUGGUGAGUAGACUGGCGUUGGUGGUGGAGGAGACUUGUAGUGGUAUGGCUUCUUUGGUGGUGGUGGUGAGUGAUGUGGGUGGUAGGGCUUCUUGUGUGGUGGCGGGGGUGGUGGAGACUUGUAGUGGUAAGGCUUCUUCGGUGGUGGUGGAGGUGGUGGAGACUUGUAGUGGUAUGGCUUCUUUGGUGGUGGUGGUGAGUGGUGUGGAUGGUAGGGCUUCUUGUGUGGUGGGGGUGGUGGAGGAGACUUGUAAUGGUAAGGGACCUUCGGUGGUGGCGGUGAUGGAGGAGGAGGAGACUUGUAGUGGUAAGGCACCUUAGGUGGUGGUGGUGAUGGAGGAGGAGGAGACUUGUAGUGGUAUGGCACCUUUGGUGGUGGUGGUGACGGAGGUGGUGGAGAUUUGUAGUGGUAGACAGGUGUCUUUGGUGGCGGGUACACCGGAGGCUUGGGAGGUGACUUGGGAGGGUAAUGUGGGUGCUUAGGAGGAGAGUACACCGGAGGCUUAGGUGGUGACUUUGGUGGGUAAUGGGGAUGCUUAGGCGGCGAGUACACCGGUGGUGUGGGUGAGGGUGGUGACUUUGGUGGGUAAUGAGGAUGCUUUGGUGGAGAGUACACCGGAGGCUUAGGCGGUGACUUGGGAGGAUAGUAAGGAUGAUGGGGUGGUGCGUAGUGCACUGGUGGCGGAGGCGGCGGUGGUGACUUGUAGUGGUAAGGAGGAGAAGCAGGUGGUGGAGGAGAGGAGUAAGGGUAGUUUGCGGAGGUUUGCGAGGCAAAAGCGACUAAUGCCACUAGAAGACUGAAAACUAGAGAGGUCCCCAUUUUCCCCAUCCUUGUGGGUUUAAGAGGAGAUGGAUUUUGGUUUUCUGCUCUAUAUGCGAAGCCUCUACGCCCUUUAUAUAGCUUUGGUGUUUACCCAUCUAAUCAAACUAAGGGUAAAAUAUAGUAAUCAUCAUCAUGUGCCAAAUUUACAUGCCCAAUUAUCAGUCCUCUUUGGUGUAAAACAAGAUUAGCUAGUGUUAAAAAAACACAAAUAGGGGGCCAGCAAGUAUUGACUGGAAAUAUUUUGUUGAUUGAAUUUGAAGAAUAAAACCUAGCUAACCUAUAUAUUAUACAGUGCCAUCUAUCAAAACGAGCAAUUUUUCCAUAGCUUAGUUAAUUAGUUGGUAUAUUUAUUCUCUGGUUUUCAUGAAUGAUUGAGAAAGAGAGAACAAGCUUCGAAAACGUGUGUGGGUUUUGCCCAACUUUUUCUGAUUCUCGCUGUGCCGAGGACCAGGCGGCUUUGCUCUAUCUGGUCUGUCACAGUCACAUUUUGCAUGGCAUUACUCGAAUUUUUUUCUCUGAUUAAUGUUUUGGGGUGGAUUGAAGUGCCUAUUUGCCUUAAUCAAACGUGGUUUAUCACUAAUUAAUCACUUACAAAGACGAAUUAGGUGUCAUAAUUGCAAUGAAUGAUAACUAGAUAUUGUCUCUACUCUUAACUUGUUGUUCCAAACUAGUAGUAUAAACCAAUUAAGUAGAAUUUAUCGUUUAGACCAUUAACAAAGACUAGCUAGCUAUAAGAUCAAAACAAUUCUUUGAAAGGAGAAAAAUGUUAAUUAAACUAGAGUUGA